UGCAGUCGAGCGGUAACAGAGAGUAGCUUGCUACUUUGCUGACGAGCGGCGGACGGGUGAGUAAUGCUUGGGAAUAUGCCUUAUGGUGGGGGACAACAGUUGGAAACGACUGCUAAUACCGCAUAACGUCUACGGACCAAAGGGGGGGAUUCUUCGGAACCUCUCGCCAUUUGAUUAGCCCAAGUGAGAUUAGCUAGUUGGUAAGGUAAAGGCUUACCAAGGCGACGAUCUCUAGCUGGUUUGAGAGGAUGAUCAGCCACACUGGGACUGAGACACGGCCCAGACUCCUACGGGAGGCAGCAGUGGGGAAUAUUGCACAAUGGGCGAAAGCCUGAUGCAGCCAUGCCGCGUGUGUGAAGAAGGCCUUCGGGUUGUAAAGCACUUUCAGUUGUGAGGAAAGGUUAGUAGUUAAUAGCUGCUAACUGUGACGUUAGCAACAGAAGAAGCACCGGCUAACUUCGUGCCAGCAGCCGCGGUAAUACGAGGGGUGCAAGCGUUAAUCGGAAUUACUGGGCGUAAAGCGUUCGUAGGCGGUUUGUUAAGCAAGAUGUGAAAGCCCAGGGCUCAACCUUGGAACUGCAUUUUGAACUGGCAAACUAGAGUACUGUAGAGGGUGGCGGAAUUUCCAGUGUA
rnacentral:rRNA from 1 species